AAUGAAAAUACAGGAGAUAUAGUAACUGAUCAGAUAACAUCAUCAGAAUGUCCUUCAAUGCCUAUAUGGAAAACUCAAAACCAUGAUGGCAGCAUUGCUCUUCAUGAAGCGUUACGAAGCAAACACGAGGAUGUGGCAUUCCACCUACUGGAUCUGGACUGUGAAUAGGUUGUCCUUGUUGUCAAUACCAAAGGUGGGAGCCCGUUGUACCUGGUUGCUGAAGGCGGGUUUGUCCGUAUUAUAGAAAAAAUCCUUACCGCAGGUGGGAGGAACAAUGUUGUUGGCCCGAUGGGUCAGACUGCUUUACAUGCCGCAGUAUUCUCUAAAAGCACAGAGAGCACAAAAGUUCUACACAAUUCGAUUCCAGAACUCAUCAGAAAACGAGAUUCAUAUAGAAAAACAGCUCUAUACUAUGCAACACAGUCAAAUUAUAUUGAGAUAAUGAAGUCAACUACUGAAGUUGGAUUCUUCUUCUGCAUACAUAUGUGACAAUGAAGGACUCUCACCUUUGUUAGUUGCUGCCAGCAUGGGUAGUCCUGUAUCUGUUCAGGCUAUAUAUACUAGAUGACUGCCCAGCUUCAAUUGAGUCUUUAGAUUUCCAUGGCCACAAUGCACUUCACCUAGCCGUGAAAUAUAACACUUUGAAGACGUUCAGAAAAUUAUUGAAAAUGCCAGAAAUGAUGGCCCUUAUAAACGAACCUAACCACGAUGGGAACACUCCUCUGCAUCUAGCAAUCAUGGCCCGUAGUACUGAGAUGAUAAGAGCGUUGUUAUCUACAAAACGUGUGGACUUAACAGCCAAGGACAACGUCGGGCAAUCAGCUUUGG